rnacentral:rRNA from 1 species
UUCAGGGCCAGUUUCAGCAGAACGCUCUAUUUUCUGCUUACUGCUAAAUCCUCCUUCUAGAUAUACGUUUCAGUAAUAUUUUUCGUAAUUCCUUGUGGUAAGGAAUGUAGCCCAUUUCUUCCCUUUCCAUACGCUACACCUCGACCUGACGUUUUGGGUUGUACCAAUUGUGCUUACUGAAGGGCCUUCAUAGGGUAAGCUGACGACGGCGGUAUAUAGGCGGGGAGAACAAGAAAAGGUGAGGUUGAACGGGGGUUAUCGGUUUCAGAACAGGCUCCUCUAGGUGGGUCUAAAGCACCGCCAAGUCCUUUGGGUUUUAAGCUGUUGCUCGUAGUACCCGGGCGGAUAGUGGGUGUAAAAAACUAUC